rnacentral:tRNA from 1 species
CGCGGAGUGGCGAAGCAGAAACGCACCGGCCUCAUAAGCCGGCCACGCACGGGUGCGAUUCCCGUCUCCGCAA